rnacentral:lncRNA from 1 species
UUUUUAGUCAUACAGUUGAAAAAAAAUUAUGUGAGGGAUUCUCAGGCAUUAAUUGUAAGCUGUGUGGUCCCAUGUACUUCUACAGGGCAUAGGGGAACUGAAAGGAGCACACUUUGGGAAGGAACACAAGGAGAACACUGCUUAGAAGACAGACUGCCUUCCUUAUGUCUUGCAGCUCUGGAUCAAGAUUCAGGCAUAUGCCGGGAAAAUAAGCCAGACCCAACCAAUUGUGUAGUAUGGUUUUCCACGAAGGCAAUAAAUAAGCUGAAUUUCUUCAGCUGAACUUCUUGAAAGAAUCCUUUCUCUGCAGAAAGGUUAAUAAAUUUUGAGGUCAGAUCUCA